CGACAGCCUCAGAAACCAGGCCCCUGCAACUGUUUAUUAAAAACAUAGCACUCUGCAAACACGAAAGUGGACGUAUAGGGUGUGAUGCCUGCCCGGUGCUGGAAGGUUAAUUGAUGGGGUUAGCGUAAGCGAAGCUCUUGAUCGAAGCCCCAGUAAACGGCGGCCGUAACUAUAACGGUCCUAAGGUAGCGAAAUUCCUUGUCGGGUAAGUUCCGACCUGCACGAAUGGCAUAAUGAUGGGGGCGCUGUCUCCAGCAGAGACUCAGUGAAAUCGAAUUCGCCGUGAAGAUGCGGUGUACCCGCGGCUAGACGGAAAGACCCCGUGAACCUUUACUGCAGCUUGACAUUGAACUUUGAUCUUACUUGUGUAGGAUAGGUGGGAGGCUUUGAAGUCGCGACGCUAGUUGCGAUGGAGCCGUCCUUGAAAUACCACCCUGGUAAUAUUGAGGUUCUAACUCUGUCCCGUUAUCCGGGACGAGGACCAUGUCUGGUGGGUAGUUUGACUGGGGCGGUCUCCUCCUAAAGAGUAACGGAGGAGUACGAAGGUGCGCUCAGCGUGGUCGGAAAUCACGCGUAGAGUAUAAAGGCAAAAGCGCGCUUAACUGCGAGACCCACAAGUCGAGCAGGUACGAAAGUAGGUCUUAGUGAUCCGGUGGUUCUGUAUGGAAGGGCCAUCGCUCAACGGAUAAAAGGUACUCUGGGGAUAACAGGCUGAUACCGCCCAAGAGUUCAUAUCGACGGCGGUGUUUGGCACCUCGAUGUCGGCUCAUCUCAUCCUGGGGCUGAAGCAGGUCCCAAGGGUAUGGCUGUUCGCCAUUUAAAGAGGUACGCGAGCUGGGUUUAGAACGUCGUGAGACAGUUCGGUCCCUAUCUACCGUGGGCGUUGGAAAUUUGAGAGGAUCUGCUCCUAGUACGAGAGGACCAGAGUGGACGAACCUCUGGUGUACCGGUUGUCACGCCAGUGGCAUCGCCGGGUAGCUAUGUUCGGAAGGGAUAACCGCUGAAAGCAUCUAAGCGGGAAGCCUACCUCAAGAUAAGAUUUCCCCGAGACUUUAUGUCUCCUAAAGAGCCGUUGAAGACUACGACGUUGAUAGGUUGGAUGUGGAAGCAUAGUGAUAUGUGAAGCUGACCAAUACUAAUUGCUCGUGAGGCUUGACUAU
rnacentral:rRNA from 2 species